rnacentral:rRNA from 1 species
UUCGCAAUGCCCGAAAGGGUGACGAAGCGACGCCGCGUGUGGGAAGAAGGCCCUCGGGUUGUAAACCACUGUCAGGAGUUAAGAAAUAUAGAGAUGUUAAUAGCGUCUCUAUUUGACGAAGGCUCCAGAGGAAGCCACGGCUAACUCUGUGCCAGCAGCCGCGGUAAUACAGAGGUGGCAAGCGUUGUCCGGAAUUAUUGGGCGUAAAGAGCACGUAGGCGGCCUUGCAAGUCAGUUGUGAAAGCCUUUCGCUCAACGGAAGAAUGGCAGCUGAUACUACAGGGCUAGAGUGCGGGAGGGGAGAGUGGAACUUCUGGUGGAGCGGUGAAAUGCGUAGAUAUCAGAAGGAACGCCGGCGGCGAAAGCGACUCUCUGGACCGCAACUGACGCUGAGUGUGCGAAAGCUAGGGGAGCAAACGGGAUUAGAUACCCCGGUAGUCCUAGCCGUAAACGAUGGGCACUAAGUAGAGGGGUUUUA